GGAAUGGAGGAAAUCUUAAAUUUGAGGAAAACCAAAGUAAUUAAGUAUGAAAAGCUGAACAAUUUUUAUUGUUCAUCAUGCUGUUCUGAGUGGGCUGUUGUACUGGUUGUACUGAUGUUAGAGCACUUGAUUGCUUUCAUCUGAACCUCUUUAAGUCAGACAAAGUAGAAGCUAUUUUUCAAGAUAUAAAAAACCCCCAUGUUUUUCGGUUGAGCUGAUAUAGCUCUAAACUGAUCCUUGGUGAAAGUGAGUGCUUAGUUUUUGUGAACUCAUGUAGACCUUUAUAAACACACUGAUGUGCUUGUCACGCAGUUGCCUAAAUACUGUAGUUUUAUAAAAUAAUUACUUUCAUUUUUGUUUUAAUAUGCCUUUACAUGUUUUAUUCUGAACCAUGUUUUAAAUCUGUAGACAUCAAAAAUACUUGCAACAAAAAUAGACUGGUGGUUUUGGUCUUUUAUUUAAAUUUUCUUCAGAUCUAAUUGGAACACUAAUGAGAAGGCUUCCAAGAACAUACUGCACAAGAAAU